GACGAACGCUGGCGGCGCGCUUAACACAUGCAAGUCGAACGGAAAGGCCUGCUUUCCCUUGUGGUUUGCGGGUACUCGAGUGGCGAACGGGUGAGUAACACGUGAGUGAUCUGCCCCCAACUUGGGUAUAAGCCUGGGAAACUGGGUCUAAUUCCCGAUAGGACUGCAGGGUGGUGCAUGUGGUGGAAAACGAUUUUCUAGUGGUUGGGGAUGAGCUCGCGGCCUAUCAGCUUGUCGGUGGGGUAAUGUCCUACCAAGGCGGCGACGCGUAGCCGGCCUGAGAGGGUGGACGGCCACAUUGGGACUGAGUUACGGCCCAGACUCCUACGGGAGGCAGCAGUGGGGAAGAUUGCACAGUGGGCGGAAGCCUGAUGCGGCGACGCCGCGUGGGAGAUGACGGCCUUCGGGUUGUAAACUCCUUUGGACCGCGAGGAAGCCACCUGGUUGGAAGGGUGGUGACGGUAGUGGUAGAAGAAGCACCGGCUAACUACGUG
rnacentral:rRNA from 1 species